rfam:Myotis davidii contig323539, whole genome shotgun sequence.
GGUGGUUCUCGGGUGACACAUCCUGGAAUCAGGCUCCCACUCUGGUUCUGGGUGUGUCACCCUAGAACCGCA